UACAGAGGUCCCAAGCGUUGUUCGGAUUCACUGGGCGUAAAGGGUGCGUAGGUGGUCGUGUUAGUCUGAUGUGAAAUCUCCGGGCUUAACCCGGAAAUGGCAUUGGAUACUGCACGGCUUGAGGUUUGGAGGGGGGACUGGAAUACUUGGUGUAGCAGUGAAAUGCGUAGAUAUCAAGUGGAACACCAGUGGCGAAGGCGAGUCCCUGGACAACACCUGACACUGAGGCACGAAAGCUAGGGGAGCAAACAGG
rnacentral:rRNA from 1 species